rnacentral:misc_RNA from 1 species
AAGUCGUAACAAGGUUUCCGUAGGUGAACCUGCGGAAGGAUCAUUAACACUAAUGAAAUCCAAAACCUUUUGGAUCAACCCAACCUUAGCGAACCGUUCGGAUAUUUUCCCUUUGCCCAAUUUUACCAAACGCAAAAACUCUGAUGUAAAGUGUCUGAUUCUUAUUCUCGUUUUCGGUUGUCAUGACCGAGCCCGCGGGAAUCAAAAUCUAACGCAAUACAACUCUUAACAACGGAUAUCUUGGCUCUC